CACCCGAUGACUGAAAGUAAGUAUAGGUCUUUUAAACCUAUAAUAGUAAUAACGCCUACUUCUGGUGA
rnacentral:tRNA from 1 species